UACGGGGGGGAGCAAGCGUUGUUCGGAUUUACUGGGCGUAAAGGGCGCGUAGGCGGCCACCGCAAGUCAAUUGUGAAAUCUCCGGGCUUAACUCGGAAAGGUCACUGAUACUGCGGGGCUAGAGUGCGGAAGGGGCAACUGGAAUUCUCGGUGUAGCGGUGAAAUGCGUAGAUAUCAAGAGGAACACCUGAGGUGAAGACGGGUUGCUGGGCCAACACUGACGCUGAUGCGCGAAAGCCAGGGGGAGCAAACAGG
rnacentral:rRNA from 1 species